rnacentral:rRNA from 1 species
AACUUUUGGUCCAGUGAACCUUACCCAACCUCAAGUAGGUUGCGUGUGGGCGUGCACGGACCAUUCUUCUGGAGAGCAUUACUACCCUUGAUUGGGCCGGUCUUGCAAUUCAGAUCCUUUACUGUGAGUAAAUCAAAGUGUUCAAAGCAGGCUUUAUGCUUGUAUGGUUCAGCAUGGAAUAAUAAGAUAAGACUUCGGUUUUAUUUUGUUGGCUGUAGAACCAAAGUAAUGAUUGAAAGGGAUAGUUGGGGGUGCUAGUACUCAGUGGUCAGCGGUGAAAUGCGAGGACCCAUUGAAGACUAACUUAUGCGAAAGCAUU